rnacentral:SRP_RNA from 2 species
GCCAGGUGUGGUGGCUCACGCCUGUAAUCCCAGCACUUUGGGAGGCCGAGGCGGGUGGAUCACCUGAGGUCAGGAGUUCAAGACCAGCCUGACCAACAUGGUGAAACCCUGUCUCUA